rnacentral:rRNA from 1 species
CGGGAAGCCACCUGGUGACAGGGAGCGGAACCCGAAAGCCUGUCUCAGUUCGGAUUGGAGUCUGCAACUCGACUCCAUGAAGCUGGAUUCGCUAGUAAUCGCGCAUCAGCCAUGGCGCGGUGAAUACGUUCCCGGGCCUUGUACACACCGCCCGUCAAGCCAUGGGAGCCGGGGGUGCCUGAAGUACGUGACCGCGAGGAGCGUCCUAGGGCAAAACUGGUGACUGGGGCUAAGUCGUAACAAGGUAGC